rnacentral:rRNA from 1 species
AUGGGCAUGCCACACUCAGCUAACCAUAUUUUACUGCACGAGCCCAGCGAGCCUUGCACGAGGCCUAGCUACCCGUCCAGUCUCCUCCUCUGCUCCGGCCGGCUCAAACCGUAUAAAUCUCUCCCCUGCAUCUCCGCGAAUCUGACCGAGGCUUGGUGGUCAGACAGACAGAGACCCAUGGAGACUAAGGCCAAGGACGCAUGGGGCCUGGCGCUGGUGCUCUUCCUCGGCCAGCUCGUGGCCUUCUCCAUGGCCGCCGCCAGCUUCGCCUCCUCCUUCCUCGCCAAUCUCGGAGUUAAUACACCACUCACACAGUCCUUCUUCGCCUACCUCCUGUUGACUCUGAUUUAUGUGCCGAUCCACUUGCACCGACGGCAGAAGUCACGGAUACCUUGGUACUGGUACUUGGCGCUGGCCUUCGUCGAUGUCCAGGGGAACUAUCUGGUUGUUAAGGCGUAUCAGUACUCGUCCAUCACAAGCGUAACCUUGUUGGACUGCUGGACCGUUGUAUGGGUCAUCAUACUCACCUGGUACGCGCUGGGCACAAGGUACUCCUUCUGGCAAUUUCUGGGGGCAGGGACCUGCGUGGCAGGCCUAGGUCUUGUGCUCCUUUCAGAUGCAAAAUCCCCAGAACAGCAAGAUGGGGGUAAAAUGCCACUUCUAGGGGAUGCCCUUGUUAUUGCCGGGACAGUUUGUUUUGCAUUUAGCAAUGUUGGAGAGGAAUACUGUGUCAAGAAGAACGACCGGGUAGAGCUUAUCGCGAUGCUUGGACUAUUUGGGCUGGUUGUCAGUGCAAUUCAGAUAUUCAUAUUCGAAAGGAAGAGCCUAGAAGCAGUUGCCUGGUCUCCAACAAUGAUAAGUUUGUUCGCAGGAUUUGCCGUUGCAUUACUAGUGUUCUACACCAUUACUCCUUUUGUCCUUAAGAUGAGUGGAUCAACAUUGUUUAAUCUCUCACUCUUAACAUCUGACAUGUGGGCAGUCGCCAUUCGACUACUGUUCUACCAACAACAGAUAAACUGGCUGUACUAUGUUGCAUUCUCAGUUGUGGCCAUUGGAUUAAUCGUCUACUCACUGAAUGAGAGUUCUUCAACCGAUGGAAGAGCUACAGGUACAGAAGUUGCACCUCACUAUCAACAACUUCCAAGCGAGGAUGGCUCAACAAGUGGUUCUAAUUUGGACAGCCAAGAAAAGAAGCAACUGGAAGGAGCUCAUGGUAUCUGUUAG